rnacentral:lncRNA from 1 species
GGAAAUGACGCCAGGGGAUGCAAACCCUUCUGCCCCUUUUUGCUACCCCUGAAGCUUACUGUUAGUGGUCGAGUUUUUCUGGAAGUGGGCUUCCGCGAUCGCGGGGACCAACGCCCUGAGCUCUUGUGCCCAAAGGGGAUCGCCAGGUUUUUUGAUGCGGAUCGAAAGGGACUGGCCCCGGAGCCUACAACCUGACGCAGGUGGGACUUGGGGAAAUGUCGAGAAACCUAGGUCUGGGACUUGAGUUGGCUUCCAGGGCACACAUUCUUGUUCAGAAGAAACACAUUGCAAAAAUCGGGAGGUGACGGGCAGAUGAAGUGUCGGCGCUUCGCCUCGGGACUCCAGUGCAACCUAUGGGGCUUUUGGAAAUGAGGAAGUCGAUGACUCUGCAGGGACUCCUCUGACCCAGGAGCAGAUGGCGCUCGUCUGGGCACUCCCCAGGAGAAAAGGUGCAUCGGGAAGCAGCCUGGCUUGUGGAUGGUGGACAAGGUGGAGGAGAGAGAAUUCCUUGGCAGUAGCAUUAUGAACAAAUGCAGGGCUGAGAAACAGCAUGGUGGCCUUGACUAAGUUUAUGGCGACAGCAGAUGGAGUCUUGCUCUGUCGCCCAGGCUAGAGUGCAGUGGCGCGAUCUCAGCUCACUGAAACCUCUGCCUCCCGGGUUCAAGUGAUUCUCCUGCCUCCGCCACGCGAUGCCUCUUCAUGGGUGGUGGAUGAAGAAACUGAACAGGGCCAUGAUCCUUAUCUGUAAUUUCCCGGCUACCACACUGCUUUGGUGGUCUUCCCUCGUCUCUUCCUGGGUAGAAACAACUACCUGGAGAUCCCAAUGUUCUUGUCAGUGCACUUUUCAUGGACUGCAGUGGUAAGACGAUGUGUUGGAUGCCCAAACACAAACCAACCUACUUCAUACUGGGUGGAAUUUUUAUGAUUAGCGCCCUUCUCUCAUUCUGCUUGAACUUUUUGUUGCUGACCUUCCCUCAGUUAUUCCCUGAGACCCAGAAACAGUAUAUUUUCUGUGCAUCCAUCUGCAUUGUCACAGGAGCCCUCUACCUUCGCAAUUCCCGGUGCUGUGGAGCUGUCAGAGUUUUAACAUCUCAACCAAGCCACAUGGAUACUAUUUCCUCAGAAAAGACAAAAUUGAUCCAAGCAGAAGAGUGAACUCACCGAAGAGGACUCUCUACCCAUAACUGGGGAUGCCUCAGCCACUCACACUUACUCCAAGAUUAGUGUCACUGAUUAUGGAAAGAAUUGACUUCUUCCCCUGGUCUUGCUCAUUUUUCUAGAGCCCAGGACAAUAAAUGUGUUUUACGGCAGAGAAAAGU